UACGGAAGGCAGCAGUGGGGAAUAUUGCACAAUGGGCGAAAGCCUGAUGCAGCUAUGCCGCGUGUAUGAAGAAGGCCUUAGGGUUGUAAAGUACUUUCAUCGGGGAGGAAAAAACAAAACUAAUAAUUUUAUUUCUUGACGUUACCCGAAAAAGAAGCACCGGCUAACUCCGUGCCAGCAGCCGCGGUAAUACGGAGGGUGCUAGCGUUAAUCAGAAUUACUGGGCGUAAAGAGCACGUAGGUGGUUUUUUUAAAGUCAGAUGUGAAAUCCCUGGGCUUAACCUAGGAACUGCAUUUUGAAACUGAAAUACUAGAGUAUCGUAGAGGGAGGUAGAAUUCUAGGUGUAGCGGUGAAAUGCGUAGAUAUCUGGAGGAAUACCUGUGGCGAAAGCGGCCUCCUAAACGAAUACUGACACUGAGGCGCGAAAGCGUGGGGAGC
rnacentral:rRNA from 1 species